UACGAAGGGGCUAGCGUUGCUCGGAAUUACUGGGCGUAAGGCGCGUAGGCGGACAGUUUAGUCAGAGGUGAAAGCCCAGGCUCAACCUUGGAAUUGCCUUUGAUACUGGCUGUCUUGAGUUCGGGAGAGGUGAGUGGAAUGCCGAGUGUAGAGGUGAAUUCGUAGAUAUUCGGCGGAACACCAGUGGCGAAGGCGACUCACUGGCCCGAUACUGACGCUGAGGCGCGAAAGCGUGGGGAGCAAACAGG
rnacentral:rRNA from 1 species